CCUACGGGUGGCAGCAGUGGGGAAUAUUGCACAAUGGGGGAAACCCUGAUGCAGCGACGCCGCGUGAGCGAAGAAGUAUUUCGGUAUGUAAAGCUCUAUCAGCAGGGAAGAAAAUGACGGUACCUGACUAAGAAGCACCGGCUAACUACGUGCCAGCAGCCGCGGUAAAACGUAGGUCACAAGCGUUGUCCGGAAUUACUGGGUGUAAAGGGAGCGCAGGCGGGAAGACAAGUUGGAAGUGAAAUCUAUGGGCUCAACCCAUAAACUGCUUUCAAAACUGUUUUUCUUGAGUAGUGCAGAGGUAGGCGGAAUUCCCGGUGUAGCGGUGGAAUGCGUAGAUAUCGGGAGGAACACCAGUGGCGAAGGCGGCCCCCUGGACGAAGACUGACGCUCAGGUGCGAAAGCGUGGGGAGCAAACAGGAUU
rnacentral:rRNA from 1 species